rnacentral:rRNA from 2 species
CGCACGGGUGAGUAAUACAUGUAAAUAUACCUAAAAGUGGGGAAUAACGUACGGAAACGUACGCUAAUACCGCAUAAUUAUUACGAGAUAAAGCAGGGGCUUGAUAAAAAAAAUCAACCUUGCGCUUUUAGAAAAUUACAUGCCGGAUUAGCUAGUUGGUAGAGUAAAAGCCUACCAAGGUAACGAUCCGUAGCUGGUCUGAGAGGAUGAUCAGCCACACUGGGACUGAGAAAAGGCCCAGACUCCUACGGGAGGCAGCAGUGGGGAAUAUUGGACAAUGGGGGGAACCCUGAUCCAGUCAUGCCGCGUGUGUGAAGAAGGCCCUUUGGUUUGUAAACCACUUUCAGCGAAGAAGAAAAGUUAGGAAAAUAAAAAGUUAUAACUAUGACGGUACUCGCAGAAGAAGCACCGGCUAACUUCCGUGCCAGCAGCCGCGGUAAGACGGAGGGUGCAAGCGUUAAUCAGAAUUACUGGGCGUAAAGGGCAGGUAGGUGGUUUGUUAAGCUUUAUGUGAAAGCCCUAUGCUUAACAUAGGAACGGAAUAAAGAACUGACAAACUAGAGUGCAGAAGAGGAAGGUAGAAUUCCCGGUGUAGCGGUGAAAUGCGUAGAUAUCUGGAGGAAUACCAGUUGCGAAGGCGACCUUCUGGGCUGACACUGACACUGAGAUGCGAAAGCGUGGGGAGCAAACAGGAUUAGAUACCCUGGUAGUCCACGCUGUAAACGAUAUCAACUAGCCGUUGGAUUCUUAAAGAAUUUUGUGGCGUAGCUAACGCGAUAAGUUGAUCGCCUGGGGAGUACGGUCGCAAGGCUAAAACUCAAAUGAAUUGACGGGGGCCCGCACAAGCGGUGGAGCAUGUGGUUUAAUUCGAUGCAACGCGCAAAACCUUACCUACUCUUGACAUCCAAAGUACUUUCCAGAGAUGGAAGGGUGCCUUAGGGAACUUUGAGACAGGUGCUGCAUGGCUGUCGUCAGCUUCGUGUUGUGAAAUGUUGGGUUAAGUCCCGUAACGAGCGCAACCUGUCCUUAGUCCA